rnacentral:lncRNA from 1 species
GUUAAUAUGAAAACCUGGGUUCGUUUUUAAGUAAGACUUUAAUACGUUUGGUUCAUAAUUGAAAUAGAAAUGAAAAAUAAAAUUGAAUUGCUUUGCAAUGGAAAUUGAAAUGACGGAUUAAUUAUUCAAAGAUAUUUGGUUCAUUAUUGUAAUGAAAAUCGAAAUGAAACUCUACGACUUUUUUUUUUUUCAGAGAGAAAGGUGGCAUGCUACCCGUUUCGUUUAUUUCAUUUAGAAAUAAACUUAGCUAGAAAUGCGAAUCAACUAGGAUUCGAACUUGGGAUCUCGAGUACUAACGACCAAGCCCUUAGAAACUCUACGAUUUUGAAAAGGAGUUUUGAUUAAGGGAGAUAAAAGGAAGAGGAUGGACGUAUUUAUGAGAGAGGAUUUUGUGUAACUUACUUUGGAAUGGAUUAAUCCGUGAUUCAAAGCUGGAUUAACUGGGUCAUAAACAUAUUUGGUCAUUUUCAUUUCAAAGUGGAAUAAGAAUCGAAAUUCGAUUCAUGUAAAACAAACAACAACUAUCAAAAUCAAUAAAUUUUAUUUCAAUUUUAUAGUCUAAAAUAGUAAACCAAAUAUGUCCUAUCAGAGUUUUGCAUGCGAUCAAUCAAAAAUAUCUUCUUUUUUCUUUUUUGAGAGAGAUAGGUAGCACGCUACCCGCUUCAUUUAUUUCAUUUAGAAAUAAACUUAGCUAGAAAUGUGAAUCAACUAGGAUUCGAACUUGGGUCUCGGCUACCAACCACUAAGUCCUUUGCCACUUGCUCUAGGGACGGUGGAUGAUCAAUCAAAAAUAUCAAAUAAUAAAUCAACAGUAAAGAAAUAUUAAUGAUAGAACAAAAUAUUAAAUUUUGAGAAAACUUCAAAUACCAUCUCUGUGGUCGCAUUUUUUCAUUUUAGUACCAUGUGAUUUAAAGUGUAUCAAUUUAGUACCAUGUGGUUUCACACUUUCUCAUUUUAAUACCCUGUGGUUUAAAAUGCAUCAAUUUAGUGCUCUGUAGUUUUAUUUUUCUCUUUUCGCCGGCUCCUCUGUUAAUAUUUCAUUAAAUUAUAUACAAAAAACUUCAGAUACCCUACUUAGGUUUAUCGAAUAAUUACUUUAGUAUUCUUUAGUUUUAACUUUGUCACUAAUUUUUUUCCUCCGUUAAUAUUUCGUUAAAUUAUAUACAAAAAAUCUUCAGAUACUCUAUCUAGGUUCAUCGAAUAUUCACUUUAGUACCUUUUAAUUUUAACUUUGUUACUAAUUUAACGAAAAAAAAUAGUAAAAUAAAUAAUAAAAAGAGAAAAAUAAAACCACAUAGUACUAACUUGUUACACUUUAAACCACAAGGUACUAAAGUGAGAAAGUACGAAACCACAAAAACUAAUUUGAUACAAUUUAAACCACGGAGUACUAAAGUGAGAUAGUGUGAAACCACCCGACGGUAUUUGAAGUUUACCCUUAAAUUUUCAUU